rnacentral:rRNA from 1 species
GACGAACGCUGGCGGCGUGCUUAACACAUGCAAGUCGAACGGAAAGGCCCUGCUUUUGUGGGGUGCUCGAGUGGCGAACGGGUGAGUAACACGUGAGUAACCUGCCCUUGACUUUGGGAUAACUUCAGGAAACUGGGGCUAAUACCGGAUAGGAGCUCCUGCUGCAUGGUGGGGGUUGGAAAGGUUCGGCGGUUGGGGAUGGACUCGCGGCUUAUCAGCUUGUUGGUUGGGUAGUGGCUUACCAAGGCUUUGACGGGUAGCCGGCCUGAGAGGGUGACCGGCCACAUUGGGACUGAGCUACGGCCCAGACGCCUACGGGAGGCAGCAGUGGGGAAUAUUGCACAAUGGGCGGAAGCCUGAUGCAGCAACGCCGCGUGCGGGAUGACGGCCUUCGGGUUGUAAACCGCUUUCGCCUGUGACGAAGCGUGAGUGACGGUAAUGGGUAAAGAAGCACCGGCUAACUACGUG